UUUGUGGUCAAGUAUGCCAUUUCCCACCUAUAAUCUGGUUUACAUGUAAUGAAUAUUUUAUUUCAACCUUUUAAAAUAUUCCAUUAAAUUUAAAUUUUUAUGUGUGAGGGGUUUGUUGAUUUUUCCGCUUGGGAUAGUUAUAUAUUUCUGAAGCAUUUUGUGGAGUAGGAGUGUCUCCGUAACCUGUUCCAAAUGUAUGCCCCUGCUCAACUACUCCCACAGCCCCUCUGUGGUAGGAGAAUCCUAAGGAAGCCUUCUGGACCCCACAGCUGUUCCUGGCAUCUGAACUGCAAACAGCCCUAGGGCUGAAGAAAAUCUGAUUAUGUUUUAGUGGAAGCUCCUAGAGUGGAGAAAUAAGACAU
rnacentral:lncRNA from 1 species